rnacentral:lncRNA from 1 species
CUAGGUAUAAAAAUAACAGUUAUUCCUUCCGCCGCAUCAAAGAGGAUAUAUAAACCUCUCUCUAUUUUCUAUCUAUCUACACAUUUUCAUCUCAUCUCUUUCUUUCUCCUCUCCAACCCUACCAUAUCAACAUUUCUAAUGCUAUUCACACUCUUCACUGCAACUGCUCUGCAUCAGAUCAGAAUUGUUCAACACAUGGCCUCCACUCUUCAAUGGGAAUCAUAGCAAUGACUCCUUCGGCUUCGCCAUCACUCUCUACUGUGAUUUCCUUGAUUAAUCAGUUACGAAGUCUCUGUCUUACUGUCUUAAGGGUGAGUCUCUGUCUUAAGGGUGACGUAACUUUAUUUUAUUUAUUAAGACCAACCGUUUGAAUUAUGCUUGUGGUACUAGUAGAUUAUUGUAUCAUCUUAUUUAGAUUUUUGUGUUAUUUUUUUCAUGAUAAAAAUCUUAUCUUAUUGAUUUAGGGUAAGUUUAGGGUAAGUGAGAAUGGAUUGUUGGUACUAGUAGAUUAUUGUAUCAUCUUAUUUAGAUUUUUGUGUUAUUUUUUUCAUGAUAAAAAUCUUAUCUUAGAUAAUGAUAUUGAUUUAGGGUAAGUGAGAAUGGAUUCUUUAAAACGAGAAGAGUAGUAAGAAGAGUGUUCUUGAAUGAGCGUGACAAUUAUUUAUGCACUGUUCUGCACUGUCAAAAUGUCAUAACUUUCGACAUAUUGACAAUUUUAAUUUUAAAAGCAACUGUCAUACCUAUUUACUUUAAUUUACUUUAAUUUAAUUAUGUUUUAACAAGUUCUAUGUACUUUAAUUCUGAUAUUGUUGAGCACCGGUUGCAGAUAAUCACGAGAACACCUAUGUUGUAAUGUUGUAAUGUAGAUGUAUGGGGUUUAUGUCAUUUUUAUGAUCUUAAAGGGGAACAUUGUUUAUAUUUUCAAUACGUUUUUCAUAUUAAUUUCUAAAUGUAAUAUUUGAGGCUUCUAACAAGCCUGCAUCACAUUUCAGAGGGUUUGCCCGCAUCACAUAUUUACUAUUUGAAGUAAACAAUUAAUCUUUGAAAUUAUUUUUCAAAUGUCAAUCGAAAGAGUAUGUAAUUCAGAAUUUUGUAAUGUUUAAUUUAUUUAUAAACAAUAAUUAUUU